CGCCUGUCCAAAUCUGUGGCCGAUCUCACCAUCUCUCUUCCCAUCACUCAUGAGUAAGAUCCUGACAUAUUUACAUUCCUCCACCUGGGGAAGUUGCAACACCUGAGUAGCAG